AGAGUUUGAUCAUGGCUCAGAGCGAACGCUGGCGGCGUGCCUAACACAUGCAAGUCGAGCGAGAAAGGGGACUUCGGUCCUUGAGUACAGCGGCGAACGGGUGCGUAACACGUGGGCAAUCUGUCUUCAAGAUGGGAAUAACCCAGCGAAAGUUAGGCUAAUACCCAAUAAGACCACGAAAAGCAAUUUAUGUGGUCAAAGAACGCCCCCUCUAGGGGCAUUCGCUAGAAGAGGAGCCCGCGACCUAUCAGCUUGUUGGUGAGGUAACGGCUCACCAAGGCAAAGACGGGUAGCUGGUCUGAGAGGAUGACCAGCCACACGGGGACUGAGACACGGCCCCGACUCCUACGGGAGGCAGCAGUGGGGAAUAUUGGGCAAUGGGGGAAACCCUGACCCAGCGACGCCGCGUGGGUGAUGAAGGCCUUCGGGUCGUAAAGCCUUGUCAAGAGGAAAGAAUGUUUUCGAAGCAAAUAGUUUCGAAAAGUGACGGUACCUCUGAAGGAAGCACCGGCCAACUCCGUGCCAGCAGCCGCGGUAAGACGGAGGGUGCAAGCGUUGCUCGGAAUCAUUGGGCGUAAAGGGUGCGUAGGCGGUCUCUUAAGUCUGACGUGAAAGUCCAGGGCUCACCCUUGGAAGUGCGCCAGAAACUGGAAGACUAGAGUACCGGAGGGGAGAGUGGAAUUCCUGGUGUAGCGGUGAAAUGCGUAGAUAUCAGGAGGAAUACCGGUGGCGAAAGCGACUCUCUGGACGGUAACUGACGCUGAGGCACGAAAGCGUGGGGAGCAAACAGGAUUAGAUACCCUGGUAGUCCACGCCGUAAACGAUGGACACUAGGUGUCGAGGGUAUCCACUCCCUCGGUGCCGCCGCUAACGCAUUAAGUGUCCCGCCUGGGAAGUACGGCCGCAAGGUUAAAACUCAAAGGAAUUGACGG
rnacentral:rRNA from 1 species